rnacentral:rRNA from 1 species
CGGCAGGCCUAACACAUGCAAGUCGAGCGGUAGAGAGAGGCUUGCUUCUCUUGAGAGCGGCGGACGGGUGAGUAAUACCUAGGAAUCUGCCUGAUAGUGGGGGAUAACGUUCGGAAACGGACGCUAAUACCGCAUACGUCCUACGGGAGAAAGCAGGGGACCUUCGGGCCUUGCGCUAUCAGAUGAGCCUAGGUCGGAUUAGCUAGUUGGUGAGGUAAUGGCUCACCAAGGCUACGAUCCGUAACUGGUCUGAGAGGAUGAUCAGUCACACUGGAACUGAGACACGGUCCAGACUCCUACGGGAGGCAGCAGUGGGGAAUAUUGGACAAUGGGCGAAAGCCUGAUCCAGCCAUGCCGCGUGUGUGAAGAAGGUCUUCGGAUUGUAAAGCACUUUAAGUUGGGAGGAAGGGCAGUUACCUAAUACGUGACUGUCUUGACGUUACCGACAGAAUAAGCACCGGCUAACUCUGUGCCAGCAGCCGCGGUAAUACAGAGGGUGCAAGCGUUAAUCGGAAUU